AUACUAUAUACGUUUACGGGUAUUAUACAGGUAUCUUUUCCUGUAUACGGGAAGACGGUGCAAUUCCGUCGCGGUCCCGCCGCUGUAAUUGGUGAUAACUGCCGCGUAACCACUGGGCUUAAUAUUUGCCCGGGAAGGGCGGCAGCUAGAUGAUCCUGAGCCAGAAGACCAGCCCGUAAAUUCCCCAUAGU
rnacentral:ncRNA from 2 species